rnacentral:RNase_P_RNA from 1 species
GAAGUUGGCUGGGCGAUCGCUGCACUCUUUUGGGUGUGGAGGAAAGUCCGGGCUCCACUGGGCAGAGUGCCAGGUAACGCCUGGGCGGCGUGAGCCGACGGAAAGUGCCACAGAGAUCAGACCGCCGAUGGCGUUGCGAUAGCUUCGCACAGGUAAGGGUGAAAAGGUGCGGUAAGAGCGCACCGCGCGCAUGGCAACAUGUCGCGGCACGGUAAACCCCACUCGGAGCAAGACCAAAUAGGGGAGCAGACGUGUGGCCCGCGCGGCUCCCGGGUAGGUCGCUUGAGGUUUGUGGUGACAUAAAUCCAAGAGGAAUGAUCGUCCUCGACAGAACCCGGCUUACAGGCCAACUUCUUUU